rnacentral:sRNA from 1 species
CCAUGAACAACGCAAAAAAAAAAUCCAACAUUCUACCAAAAAGCGUUCCUACAAAGGCAACUCUCUCUAAACCGUUUUUUGCCCAUGAGGUAUGGAAAUCGUCUAUUAGAAUGGAGAGUAAUUGAAAGGAAAAAUUACCUUUUUUGGUUUUUUUUUUUCCUUUCUUCUCGUCGGUCUUGGGUGCAGUGUCAUUCCUUUCUCCGCGUUCCCUCUCUCUCCAGAGUUAAAGAGCGCGGAGGUAGGCUCUGAGUGGGAUUGCAAUGAUUGGCGGGACAU